AUAUAAGUCCCCCCCUUCCCAUUUUAUUCUACAUUUGGUCACUUUAUCUCCUAUUUUCUCUUCUUGGCCGAAAUCUGUCUUUCCAUUUAAUCUCCAUUUAAUUUUUUUUCCAACUUUUCUUUCAUUCUUCCAUUUUUGAGCCCUCCUUCCAAUCCUACUCUUUUCCUUUCAAGACACUCUUUCCCCUUGCUUUCUUUUCUACAUGGUCGAAUCCUUCCCUCUUUAACCGGUCUUCAAUGGCCUUCAAUUCACAUUCACUCACUUGCUAUUCAAAGAAUCCUUCCAAGCUUGCUCUACCAUUCAAACUCCCUCAUUCAUUUUAGCUAGACAUGGCCGAAUCUUCCCCAUUCAGUUCAGCUCAUUAUGGCCGAAAUAUACCUCUCUUUGACUUGUUUUUAAAUGGCCUUCAAUCCCAUUCAAUAAUUGCCCAUCUAAAAAUCCUUCCAAGCUUGCUCUUUCUUUAAUAUGAUCACAUUGAUUUAAGCAAGGGGAGAUGAUGAAUUUGGCCAGCAUUAGAGGAAAAGAGGGGCAGCUGCAAAAAGAAAGAAAGAAAGGAAGAAAGACUACUACAUCAACGACUUUCCCGUCUUGCGAUAAUUUUCUGGUCUUACACUUCCCUUCCAACUUUACAUUCCUCCAUUCAUUACUCAUUCAUAAUUUAGCUGAAAAUACAAAAGAAGGAGGCCAAGAAUUCGGCCAAAUUCUGCUGGGGAAGAGAAAGAGGAAGCUUAUUAAGAUUUUCCCGGUUUUUGUACAACUUUCCGAUAAAAAACCUUUCUUUCCUCUCUUGCCCGAAACCCUCAUUGAUUCACAGAUCCAUUCAACAAGUUUGAACAUAGGGAGAACGGAAGGAGAAGAAGAAGAGAAAAGAGGAAUUGGUCCAAGGAAAGAGCUGCAGAAGAGAGAGCAGAGAAAAACCGUUAUUGUCGGAAAAACGCCGUUUUUCGGCGACCGCCCAUCCAUCUUCACCCAAGCCCCAAAAAAACUACAUACCCCACCUACUUUUGACCUUCCAAGUCCAUUGGUGGUGUUAGUUUUUCCAUUUGAGGUCUCCUUCCCAUCAUUCCAGCACUGUCCAGAUUCGGGUGUCCCCCGAGUUUUCCCAAUUCCUAGGUGUUUUCUUCAUCCCGACUUAUCCUGAACACAAAACAAACUACAUGCCUACUAGUUUUCAACCUCCCGAGUCCAUUGGUAAGGUUGGUUUCUCCAUUUGAGGCCUCCAACAUCUCGUUCCAGCAGUUUCCAGAACCAGAUCCCUAGGUGUUUUUCCGGUUUCACGACGAGUUCGUCCCUUCCACGACCAAGGCGAAUCAACCAACGACCCGUGGACCCAUGAGCCAUCUCCAGCCACGUUCCAAGGUCAAACAAGAUCUUUGCUUGUCGAAUGCCGCCCAUCACCAUGUUUAGGGGUCCCUGGGAGUGAAGAACCCUCGUGCCUACUCCAAGAAAAUGCCCCGAGCUUCCUUGAGACCCGCUUUUCUCUCUCGGGUCUGUUUGUCUCUAGUAGGGUCUAUUUUAUGCUAACCGGUUUAUUUUCUUGCAAUUUCGAGUCACCACAGGUUUUGGUUCGCUGCGAGCCACCCACAACCAUAUUCAUGAGUCCCUUGGCGAUCCCGAACCACCAUGCUAACUCCGAGAAAACUCCUCGAAAAUCCUUGCUUUUGUUCAUGUGCCAAUCGGAUCUAUUUCUCCCAAUCGGGUCACCUGAUUGACCCGAUUGGUUCUUCCUUCUCCCGAGACAUUUUCCGACUUAGUUUUUCGUCCCGAGGCACAGGUAUAACUUUGUUACGAUUUAGAGGAUCUAGGUCUUUUAAUUUUCAAGUAUUAUGGGGUGAUAAGGCGAUCCCAUACUGAUUUCCAUGCAUGUUUCAGUAUGAACCGGUAUUGUUUUAUUGAUUCCGUUAAAUCUCAUAUUGUUAUGCAUGCUUGAAUGUUUGUUUGAAAUUUACGAGAUUAUGGCGGCA